UACGUAGGUGGCAAGCGUUGUCCGGAUUUACUGGGCGUAAAGAGCGCGCAGGCGGUCGUUCAAGUCGCGUGUGAAAGCCCCCGGCUCAACUGGGGAGGGUCACGCGAUACUGAUCGACUCGAAGGCAGGAGAGGGAAGUGGAAUUCCCGGUGUAGUGGUGAAAUGCGUAGAUAUCGGGAGGAACACCAGUGGCGAAGGCGACUUUCUGGCCUGUUCUUGACGCUGAGGCGGCGAAAGCGUGGGGAGCAAACGGG
rnacentral:rRNA from 1 species